AGCCAGACUCCUACGGGAGGCAGCAGUGAGGAAUAUUGGUCAAUGGCCGAAGGGCUGAACCAGCCAAGCCGCGUGAAGGAAUAAGGCCCUACGGGUCGUAAACUUCUUUAGUCAGGGAACAAAGGGUGCCACGUGUGGCGCUGUGAGUGUACCUGAAGAAUAAGCAUCGGCUAACUACGUGCCAGCAGCCGCGGUAAUACGUAGGGAGCAAGCGUUAUCCGGAUUUAUUGGGUGUAAAGGGUGCGUAGACGGAGAAGCAAGUUAGUUGUGAAAUCCCUCGGCUUAACUGAGGAACUGCAACUAAAACUACUUCCCUUGAGUACUGGAGAGGAAAGUGGAAUUCCUAGUGUAGCGGUGAAAUGCGUAGAUAUUAGGAGGAACACCAGUGGCGAAGGCGACUUUCUGGACAGUAACUGACGUUGAGGCACGAAAGUGUGGGGAGCAAACAGGAUUAGAUACCCGGGUAAA
rnacentral:rRNA from 1 species